UAUAAACAUCAAUAUUUCCUUAACGUUUAAUGGGAGAUUUUGUGGUAGAAAAUGAUUACUUACAGUUAGAGCGCAAAAAAUAGUUUAGAUACUUAGCGGUAGAACAUUUAAAUUCAUAGUCAUGGAU